CUUGCAAAUGCCUCUUGACAACCGGGAUGGGAACUAUAAGAUACUCUCCUCCAAGGGUCAACAGGGGGACAAGGCAGUCAAAGGCAUCACUGCAGCAAGCAAGAUUUAAACCUCCAUCAUGUCAUUGAUCCACCCCCAAAUGCCCUCUCCUGCGGGUUCCUCACGGCAAGGCAGAAUUUUUAUCAUCUUGCAGUUGCACUGAACCUUGCCAAAAGAAUCAGCAAAGGAAGGGUACAUGGAAAUCACUGUCCUUGCAUUUAGUGGUGCCUGUUCUGCAGUAACGCUGGAUCCGGCUGAGGGAACAUGAAGAAUUUAUGAAGACGCACACCCGUCUCGGUUGGCCCAACAGGGUUCGUGGUCUGCCAGCUGUGCACCUACUGCAGAGACGAAAAGUACCCUGCAGAGCUGGCAUGCCCUGUGUGACUCCAGAGCUCAAGAAAGGUGAGGGAGAAGGACUCACAGCAACUGGGAAGUUCCCACGGAUGAGACAGAGUAUCUGGAGUGAAGAAAAGGACUAAAAGGACUUGGAAAAAACGACUAUGAGAUAAGAGAAGGAAAAGAAAAGCUGAAUUUGCACUUUGGAAGAAAAGGGAUGAUAACAAAAGAAGUAGGCAAGUGACAGCCUCUAAUUCCUAGACUGCUCCAAACGUACAGGCAAGUCACAUUCACCUUUCAGUCCCAGCAUCCUGACUUGCAACAUCCUCAAAAUAGA
rnacentral:lncRNA from 1 species